CACACACACACACACACACACCCCACAUCGCUGUACACUUCCACAAAUUUAACUUGACAAAAAAGACCCAAAAUAUUUUUCAGUGCUCUCAAUGGAACUAUGGAUGUUGAAUUCAGAAUGCUGCUGCUGCUGAUAUUGAAUAUUACAGAUCUGAGGGGGCUCAUGAAGGAAUCGGGGUCUCUUUCUGGGUGAACCCCAACAAUUUGGUGUCAGAAGUGGGAUACUGCCAACCAGGUGAGUAAAUUAUUUUAAGUAAAUUAUUUUAAUUUUAAUUUGAUUGGUUAUUGAUUGGUUGCCGCCUGGUUGGUAGUAAUUUAAAAAAAAAAAAAAGAGAUCCAUAAUUCAGGUUGGUAAACCUCGUGUAGAGGCACGGGACGUUUUGGAACCUCGUAGACUUUUUAGACUUUUGUCUACGGGACGUGACGGGGCUGGUAGAGCCACGGGAUUGGACUGGUAAACCUCGUAAUUUACGGGACGGUGAGCCUCGUGAAGACACUCCAAGGGGGAGAACUGUCACGAGAAGAGCGCGCUUUUAAUCUUUGAUUCCUUCGUGCAGCCACCAUGGGGGGAAAAAUUGUAUUAUAUUAAUUGUAUUAUAUUAAUUGUAAUAUAUUAAUUGCAUUAAGGUACCCGGACCCCGAGAAAAACCCACGGGAUUGGAUGUGGUUUAGCAUUCUACACAGAUUCUAGACAAUUUGGCCGGCUCAGUUUUGAUUUAUCCUCAUCCAGGUAUUUGCAAUCUCUGGGAGCUGUGUAAUGUAUCUUUAAUUGUUUUAGCAUUUAUAUAAGGCAUUACUGGAUAUGCACAAAAUAAUGAAACAAUAAAUCAGUACUCUGGACAUGAACAGUUAGAACUGUGUUCCUGGUGUGCAUAAAUGUUAAACCUUUGGUCAAUCAAACCUGUAUAACCAACUUCCAAAGUCCUUAUUUCCCUUAUAAAAUCCUUAUAAGAUGCAAAUUAAAAUGAUUUACCUAAAAUUUGAAUGAUAAUUAACAAUAAUAUAUCCCAGGUACUUUUUAUUCAAUAAACUUUAAGAAUGAAUACAAGCUUCAAUGUUUGACAAAAAAACCACAAAGUGUAAAUGUUAUGUGCUCUUUUCUCUAAAUAAAUAUUGAAGUGUUUUUUUGUUAAAAAGAAUCCGUAUAACUUUAUUUGUACGCCCGUAUACUAUGUUUAUCGACUCAAAUCCGUAUAAAAUACGGACAUUCUGUAUAUUGUGCAUUUUAAUCUCAAAGAAAGCUUCACUGAAUCGAUUCUUUAGAACAAACUCGCAUGCGUGUGAAUCAAUUUACUUGAUUCACUCUUGAUUCUUGACUCAGAAACUACGGAAACCUUAUUUGUAUUCCUGUUUUCAAAUUGUAAACAAUAAUCACACUUUCAUGCUGCAUGAAAUUAAAGUAUGAACUUUCCUCAACCCAUUACGUGUGCAUGAACUCAACAAAUGCCGUUGAUGCGUCUGUAUCGAUUCGCUCGAUCGAGUCAUUUAUGUUUCGUCCCGAAGAAGAUCCGAAUCGUCUGUGAAUCUCAUCACUGUUAGAAAUCCAAGAGAAGAGAUCCUCUUCCCUUAACAUCAUCAGAGGAAAAAUCUGCUUCUUAAUCAAUUAGUUUCAGCGUUUGUCUCUUCUAGGCGUGGUGAGACCGUGCACCAGUUCGUACCUGGCGUUUUACACAAGAUUUACGUAAGAUUAAUGAAUUGAUUGUUUCUUCUGUAAUAUCACAGGUUCCUGCCAUUAAUGAUCUCUGUUCUGCCUUUUUUCCCACGCACAUGAGGAGAUAGUGUUUGGACUCAAGGUUUCAUUUGACUCUCCUGCUGUUUUUUUUUUCAGCUGUAAUUCAUAACGUGCUCUGUGACCUUCUCCCUCCCUCAGGACUCUGUGGUCUGUGUGUUCUGGUGUCUGCUGGUGACACUUGCGCCUGCUCCAACAUCUGGCGCAUAAGGGCUUUAAGGUUUCCAGAACCAAGCUGCAAUAUUGUAUGGACACUUAAGUAUUUGAACUUUUGAAGUUUUGAACUUUCUCAAGGCUGUCAUUCUAGACACAAAACCUCCUCCACUGCAACAUCCUUUGACCUGGACUGACGCUAUGGUGGUCGCUUAUCACUCCCUCAGAAGCACCCUUUGUUCCGCCCCUGGGUUACCUGCUCACUUCAAGCCCUUCCACCUCUAUGCCUGUGGACACCGGGGCACGGCCUCUGGGGACCAUGAGGGGGGGGAGGUGCAUCAUUGUGCGUUUUUAUCCAAAACAUUAGACAUUGUUGCUCAAGGCUUACCUGCGUGUCUGGGGGCUGUCUCCGCAUGUGCUUUGAUGGUUUUAGAUGCGGAUUGGGUUUUGUCUCGCCCAUUAAUCUUGCACUCGUCACACCAAGUUAAACAGGUGUUGCAAAAUUGACAGACCCAUUAAAUUAAUUAAUCAGUAAUUUAAUAGAUAAUUAGAUUAACAUAUGACUUUAUUCUCUGUUCUACUAACAAUCUCGAAAUUCGUGUCACAUCCUCUUUUGAUAAUGUAGGUCGCACUCUCGCACGCCUCCUUAAUUCUCGGGAUGAUGCUUGGGAUGACAUUGAUAUUGUCUGUCUAAAAAUCGUACAUACUACUAGUAUCAGGUAUAAUUUUUGUUGAUGGUUCUUGUUCAAAACCCUCAGAUGGUUCUUGUUUUAUAAUUUAUAAUAUUAUCACACCUCUGUGGUUAUUCUGUGUGUUCAAUCAAUAUCAGCCUGAUAUUCUGCAUAAGACAUAUGCUCUUUCUUUCUCAUUUGAUUUUUGUCAUCUUGAUUGUGGACAAAUUCUCUAAAUGGGUAGAAGUUUUUCCCUGUUCUCGAGAGAACACGAAGGUAGUUACUCAUUUUGAUACCUAGUUAUAAUAAUAAUAAUGAUACAUUUUAUUUAUAAGUGCCUUUCAAGGUACCUAAGAACACUGGACAGUAAAAAAGAAAAACAAACAAUAAAAGCAGAACAAUAAAAUAAUAAGAAAUCAAUAAUAAUAAUUAUUAUUAUAGUUAUGGGGUUUCAAAUGCCAUAGACUCAGACAAGGGUACCCGUUUUACCUCAAAAGUCACACAAAACCUUUGUAAGUAUCUCUAAACUAAACUGGUGUUUUCACAUUCCUCAAUCCUCUGGUAUCGUAGAACGUACUAAUCGAACAUUGAAAGACAAAUUAAUUAAGGUCAUGCAGGACACAGGUUUGGUUCCGUAAUCCAUAAUUCAUUCUGGCUGAAAUUCGUGUGACACCAAGAAAUUAUUUUUGGGAAUAAAGUUCUCCCCUGGAAGAAGGGAACUCCGGCUCCGGGUACCUCUGAUUUAAAAAUGCAUAUGGAUGAGUAUUCUGCAGCCCUUAUAGAUAAGUUGCAUAAAAUUUGUACCAAGGUCAAUAAUACAAUAUUAUCUCCACCACACACCCCUUUCACGUGGGAGACAGGUGCUGGUAUGACUUUUUAAAGUAAUGAUUUGGACAAUUGGGAAAACAAUAUAAUGGGCCUGCAGACAUAGUCGCCAUUACUUUUGCUGCUGUUUUAACUGAUCUUUUUCCACAGUGGAUCCAUGCCACUCGAUUGAAGAAGGCUCCAUAACAAAGUUGUGUUACAAUAACAAGUUUGCUGCUAUUAACGCUUUUUGUGUCCCUAUCUAGUCUCCCUCUGGCCAGUUUUCUCUCUCUCUAUUUCUGAGCUCUGCACAGAUUCGACUGAGAAUCCUCAAGACGUGGUGAACAAAGAGAGAUCUUGCGCCCCGUUUGGAACCAGUCAUCCUCACUACAACCAUGACAGUCCUCAUCACGGAUUUCGUGACUUCAUUGUUGCUCGGGGCAGGGCUACCCGCCCGAGCCUUCGUGACUGCUUCAUCUUUGCUCGGGGCAGGGUUACCCGCCCGAGCCUUCAGGACCACUUCAUUGCUCGGGGCAGGGUUACCCGCUCGAGCUGGACUUCGAGACAACAUCUUCUGGACUAACUUCGCUAACUGGACUGCACAAGCGCACACCACACGAAUGUGUUAUGUCUUUCAUCUGAUGCCGUUUUCUACUAUUAUUACACAUCUCUAUGCUCUGAAACUCUGUAUUCUUACAGGACUCUGUUCUCACUAUAGGUCGAUAUGCCUUCUAAUUUCAUUUUUCCCUCACUGUUUUAGAACAAAUUAUUCUGAAGGAAGUGUAUUUGGGAAUUAAGAGGUUUUGAGUUUCUCUAAGCUCCGGUGAGGUGGGACGAGGGCUGAUUGGGCAUGCCCGCCCUCUGAGCACCAAUAUAUGUCAAGAAGGGCAAGAUUAACUCACGAUUAAUUCUCGAUGUAAUCACAUAUGACCAUGAGGUGAUAAUAUAUGGUCCUAGGAUUUGAUAAUAGUGAUACUAUUAUCAAAGGGGGGGAUUGUUGGGUUUGUAUGAGUGUUAUUCUUAUUAUUCUUAUAAGUAUUAUUAUUAAAAUGGUGACAAAAUUAAGGAUUAACUUAAGGUUCAGUUAAAAAUGACCUUCUGUCUCGGCUAGACAUUGUUUGGGAACAUUUUUUUUAUGAAAUGUGUAUUUUGAACAGAGAAGUGUCUGAAGGACCCACCAAGGUCUGUUUUAGUGUCAGAUCGACCCACACACACACUUUAAUGUUGGAUGUAAUGGUAGCCUUAUUGCUGAACAAAGAGUUAAGACUCUUAUAUUUUUAUAGUAUUUAUUAUAGUAUAUAUUACUUAUAGUAUAUUUUAGAGCUUUUUAAGAUCCUUUAUUAUUUUGGACUAUUGCAUAUACUAUGGCAGUGAUUUUAAACUGUUCCUGUGUAGCCCGACCUUCGUCCAGUGGAGAAGAACACUUCUUUGUUAGACCAAACAUAGUCUUUGUUUAAAACAUUGUCGUAAAAACAUCUCGCGCGCUUUGACGUGCGUAAAUGAAAUUGCUGAAUUGCUGAAAUAUUAUUUUGCUUAUGAUUGAAGGUUUCAUUCACACACACAUACAUAUGGAAUUAAGAUGUGAUUUGCUGACCUAGCACAUAGACACAGAUAUCAAAAUGAUGUCACUCACUCACACCCUCCCAUAGACACACACACACACACACCCCUCUCUGAGGUCAUAUACAAACACACACACAUUUGACAGACACAAUAGCCGUUUGGAGAGAUUAUGAUUUGUUAUAAAAGGUGUUUGUAAUCUUUCAUCUUUGACGAAGUGACUGUGCGAAUAAACCGGCAUGUGAACUC